CCUACGGGCGGCAGCAGUGAGGAAUAUUGGUCAAUGGGCGUAAGCCUGAACCAGCCAAGUAGCGUGAGGGAUGAAGGUUCUAUGGAUCGUAAACCUCUUUUAUAAAGGAAUAAAGUGUGGGACGUGUCCUGUUUUGUAUGUACCUUAUGAAUAAGGAUCGGCUAACUCCGUGCCAGCAGCCGCGGUAAUACGGAGGAUCCGAGCGUUAUCCGGAUUUAUUGGGUUUAAAGGGUGCGUAGACGGGCUGUUAAGUCAGCGGUGAAAGUCUGUGGCUCAACCAUAGAAUUGCCGUUGAAACUGGGAGUCUUGAGUACGGUUGAGGUAGGCGGAAUGCGUGGUGUAGCGGUGAAAUGCUUAGAUAUCACGAAGAACCCCGAUUGCGAAGGCAGCCUGCCAAGCCAUGACUGACGCUGAUGCACGAAAGCGUGGGGAUCAAACAGGAUUAGAUACCCGGGUAGUC
rnacentral:rRNA from 1 species